AAACGACUCAGGUGUUCCAACCCUUUGACAUGCUCCAGAAUGGUCCAUGAAGCUGCAGGGUUCUCAGACAGUAGUUAGACCCACCCAAGAUGGGCAGAAAGUUGCUAACUCCAGACACCUCAGAGGCAAUUGUGGGACAGGAUGCAGCCAGAGCAGGCAAGGCUAGCUUCCAUUCACAGAUGCUCAGCAGUCUAUAGGAAUAUCUGGUAACUAUCUGGGCCAGAUAGUUCUUCUCCUACGGCAACAGACUGCUUCAUUCUGGAGAUUGCCCUGCCUUCCUAGCUACAACAGCCCCAGGGUCUGAGAUUCCAGCACAGCACUGCUCAAAAUAAGUUUUCAGAAGACUACAGUUUCAGUCAGAGCAUCAUUAAUCAGUUCAAGAGCCCUAACCACAGCAAUACGAAGCCACCCCAUAGUAACCAAAGGGAGGAGAACCAAGCAGGGGCGAGCGGGUAUUUUCAAGCUAUGAAAGCACUGUCGACACGGAUAGAAGCUGAAGCAUCACAGGCUGAAUAAAGGCUAUGGAGGGGCAGAAAGCUCAAAGAAUAUUUUCCUUCAUUUCUCUCCAGUCGCCAAAGUAAAGCAAAACCUUGACUCAAACAAAGCAUGGACUCUGGGGUCCCGCAGAAGCUGGUCCCUACAGACAUCAGCCCUAUCUCUCUUUCACACCACCGGCAACUGCACACCUGUUGCUUAGAACUCUAAUCCCCAAAGGAAAACGCUCGGCUUCCUCGGUACUCAGCACAGACCACACUUUAAACAGCCUGGGAGACUGACCCAGCAUCACUGCCCCUCUACAUCCAGAGGCAUCCGAGCUAAAGACCACAACCGGAGUGGACUCAGGCUCUUGUCAUGGGUAACAGAGCAUGCGCACAUCCAAACCCCUGCGCCUUGCCUUUGGCUCUGCAGACAUGAGGCGAGAACGAAGUGCAGGACUUUAUAUCCGCCACCCAGAGACUGUCAUUAAAGCUACAAGCGCUGCUGGGUGGCAGGGAGCACAGCUCUGCUCCCCGCAGGCCAAGCUCAAAGGAAACUUUCAUCCUUUGGGACAGGUACUUAGAGAGAUGGUGCCCUCCUCCUGAAAGCCCAUUUGGUUUUGAUUCGCUCCACAACAGGGCCUGCUCAGCCCAGCCUUCUGCUUUCAUCCCUGCGCUCCAGCCGGACAUAAAUCUAAACCAGAGGCCCCAGACGGCACAUUUAACAGAGACUAUAUUUACCC